CGUCUCCACAGAUAUUUGUUUUCACUUCCACUUUUUACUUCCUCAUCCUGCGUUUACAGCUUCGCAACAAAAAAUAAAAGCGAUUUCAUAUCAGAACAGAAUCUUUGCCGGUGAAAGUGCGAAAUCUGAUCAUAAUCCAACAAAAAAUCACACUAGACAAAUCCAUUGCACCAACAAAACAAGGAGUGUUUCUACUACAAGAAAGCUAUUAUGCGACUCCAAAUUCAACGGCUCUUCUUCUAAAAAUGGUCAAGUUUUCCUACGCCCAACAAAUGCGAUCCCUUGUUCCACAUUGUCAAAAGGUAUUGUUAUAAUUAAUUUUAGUGUUAUUGUUUGUCGAACCUUCGGGUGCAGCUGCUAUCCGUACCUUCGGCCCUACAAUACAUCUAAACUCCAACUCCGCUCAUCGAAAUGUCUAUUUCUUGGGUAUAGUGCAGACCAUAAGGGAUACAAGUGUCUUCAUCCCACGGGUAGACUUUACAUACUAGAACCGUAAUCUUUAAUGAGACAGAAUUUCCCUACCUUAGUCUAUUCUCACCUACUCCAUCCAUCUCACCAACUGCUCCCUCUACUACAAUGCCUAUAUCAAUUCCCCAGCACACGCUCACUGAUCCACCUACUCAGCAAAAUCAAAAUACAUCUCCUGCCCACUCACCAUCUCCAGUCCACUCUCCUCAUUCACCAUCUCCACAAGUAUAUUCUUCUCAAAGUUCCUCUCCCACUCUAUCUCCCUCACCUUCACCUUCUGUUCUAAAUCAGCAUCCUAUGAGAACAAGGGCUAAAAGUGGCAUCUCUAAACCGAAGGUAUUUACGGCUUUCACCACUGACACUGGUAAAACUGUUGUUACUGCCUUAAUACAUGUUUCUACUUCUAAUGCACUCAGUCACCCUGGCUGGUUGGAGGCUAUGGAGAAAGAGAUGAAUGUCAUAGCUGAAAAAUCAACUUGGGAGCUUAUUCCCUACUCCAAAGACAUGAACAUCAUACAAUGUAAGUGGGUGUUUCGUGUAAAACAGAAAGCAGAUGGAACAGUUGAUAACUCUAAAUACCGGCUUUACUAACUUUUGGUUGGUAAUCUAUUAUUGUUUAUUUACUUAUCUUGACUUUGUAACUACUCUUGCAUUUUGAUGGUUCCACAGGCUGCUUGCACCGGUUGGGUUCCGAUGUGACACAACUGCCUUUGUCUAAUAAUGUUAAUGUUUCAUGAACUAAACGUUUAUCUAAAGCUUCUUGUGGGCAGAGGUGCUCAAAAGGUAAAAUAAAGAUGCAGUUGCCCAAAAUGCUAGAUGAGUUAUGGAACCUCUAUGUAAAUGAUAUGACAACUUUAGGGGUCGAGUUCCGUCGACGUUGCAGGACAUAAUAAUUCUUUGGCAUUCACAUCUAUUAAGAUGACUUAUGAUGAAGCUUUGACUAAAGCUAACAAAGGCGUUUACACCUUCAAAGUGCAAGGUAUUGUUCGGCAUUAUAUCCAUGAACUAACACCCAAGGAUGUUGUGCCAAGGCAUUUGCAGUUAUUUUUCUGUGGCACUGAGAGAGAGUUGGAUAAUCGUGUAUCUCAAUCUGAAGGAUUAGACCGUGUUGUAGUUUCAUUGUUGGUGAACAUCUUUUGACGAAUAAUCCACACCAUAAUUUCUCACCAAUUUGCAAAAUAAGGAUAACCUAGAUAGUUAUGCUAUAGUGUUGCGUGCCAAUCCUAAACUUGACCAAUGUGUUUAUAAUUUUUCAGUAGUUGACCAUGUUGUAGUAGUUUGGAACGAGGGUGUGGGAACAUCUAUGAAACAACCUCGUGAUAUUAGGGUCAACCUAAGAUCAUGUGGUGUUCGCAAUGUGCACUAUUACUAUGGAUGCUAUGAUCCACUCCAGUAUUAUCUAAUCUUUCGGUAUGGCGAGCCAGGUUGGUAUGCUGGAAUAUCCAAAACUAUUGACAACAUUGAUUUGAAUUUGGACCCAACAGAACAAAAUACUGAAGAUCAUGAAAAUAAUACAGUUGAUCCGCAUAUGCACGAGGAAGCUGACACCCUACUUGUUGCCGAACAAAAUUAUUUGUUGAGGAAUUUCAAAACUCCUUCAUGUGUUGCUAUGAGAGAAUAUUAUUGCUAUCUGUUUCAAAUGCGCACCAACGACAUAACAAAUAUCCUUAGAACUGGUCGAGUAAUUCAGUAAUUUCAGAUUGAUACUUAUGUUAAGAUCGAGACAUAAAGACUAGAUUUUUUUCUCCAUAAUCAGUUAAAGUUUGAAAUGAGGGCUGAAUUGUAUCAAGGGAUAGUUGAGAGUAUAACA